rnacentral:misc_RNA from 1 species
AAGUCGUAACAAGGUUUCCGUAGGUGAACCUGCGGAAGGAUCAUUAUUGAAUAAACUUGGUUAGGUUGUUGCUGGCUCUUAGGAGCAUGUGCACGCCUACUCCAUUUUUAACCACCUGUGCACCUUGCGUAGAUCUAGAAUAUUUCGAGGAAACUCGGUUUGAGAAUUGCUGUGCAUCAGCCAGCUCUUCUUGUAUUCAGGUCUACGUUUCUACAUAUACCCCACAUGAAUGUAUUCGCAUGUUGUAAUUGGCCUUUUGUGCCUGUAAAAACAAAUACAACUUUCAACAACGGAUCUCUUGGUUCUG